rnacentral:sRNA from 1 species
UGAUAGCUUCUACUCUGUGCAAGCUUC